GUGAAAAAAAGAGAAGAAUGAUGACCUCGACAUCAACUCUCCCUGAAAUCAACAUCCAUCAUCCAAAUGCAAUUCAUCGAGUGUGCUCUAGACAACAUCAAAUCGAAGUAACAAACUCAACUAAUCAGAGUUUUAUGAAGUCGUCCCGAAAUCUGAUUCUCUGAUCCGGAUGUAUCUUGUGCGCGGACUUGGGAAGAGAAGAAUCAUGGAUGUAUGCGCCGAUAAUUUAAGCAAGCAGAAGAAAUGCAUACUGAAUCAAAGCGGAAAGAUGCUCUAUCACGGUGGCUCUUCGGUGAUUAUGCAGAUGCGUAUGAAGGAGUUUUGAUGCGAAAUCAGGAAGUCUCAAUGCAGAAUGCAGAAGUCUUUUGGUUGAAGAAUGAAGAAGUUUUGUCGAUGCAGAAUGAAGAAGUUUUAUGCAUAAUGAAUUUGAUGCAGAUUGAGGAAUUCCCCAAGUUGGAGAAGAUGAUGAAUCGAAGUGCAUAAUGAAAAAAACUCUCCAAUCUGAACCGCCAUGAGGAUGGUUAGAAAAUACCAUGCAAUGAUGAUUGAGUCAAAUGAUUUAUUGAUGAGCAAUAACAGGGUUUUGUUGGAGGGAGUUCAGAGUUAUGCUUCACAUAUUCUACUGCAUACUCAUUGACACAUUAAGUGGACAAAUCAUGGGUUUUGACAAUGGUUAUUUGUGGAAGCGUCUCUUGUUCACAAGCAAGUGGUUUUUACAAUAGACAUAUCAUCAACAUUCGAAGGGCCUGAAAUUCACCUUCAACGGUGGAAAGCAAAGGUAAAGCUUUUGCAAAUACAAGUGGAGUUGUGGAAAGGUUGGACGCAUGCUAGAGGGAUGAUAGCCUGAUGUUGGCUUCUAUAAAUAGUGUUAGAACUUAAUACAAUAAGUGGUUUUGUUAGUUUAGACAUGCUAAUUUAAGUUAGUUUAGUUAUUAGACUUGUAAAUGCAGGAAAAUUAUUAUGCUAUUGUUGAUCACGGAUAGGAAUUAAUAGCAAACUGUUUGAAAAUGGUAUGCAGGGCUUUUGUUGCUAAUUGAUUCAUGUUGUGGUUUUGUAGGAGAAAAAGAGGUAUUGCACUUAAGAACUUGGCUUGGCAUGGAAAUGGUGUGGCUUGCUCAUGAAGGACUGCAAUAUUGUUGGGCAUGGUUGAUAUUUUGGAAACCAAAUUGGAAAGUUAAGAUAGAAUGGGCCAUGUGAUGUAUGUAGUAUGCUAGCAAGUAUCAUUAGGAUU